rnacentral:rRNA from 1 species
AGGACGAACGCUGGCGGCGUGCCUAACACAUGCAAGUCGAACGCGCUCCAUUCGGUAGCAAUACUGAUGAAGAGUGAGUGGCGAACGGGUGAGUAACACAUGAGCAACCUGCCCCGAAGACUGGGACAACACCGGGAAACCGGUGCUAAUACCGGAUAUCCCUAUCGGACCGCAUGAUCUGAUAAGGAAAUGGAUUCCGCUUCGGGAGGGGCUCGUGGCCUAUCAGCUAGUUGGCGGGGUAAUGGCCCACCAAGGCAGUGAUCGGGUA